rnacentral:rRNA from 1 species
UUUUAUUUGAGAGUUUGAUCCUGGCUCAGGAUGAACGCUGGCGGCGGGCCUAACACAUGCAAGUUGAGC